GCUGACAUAAGUAACGAUAAAGCGGGUGAAAAGCCCGCUCGCCGGAAGACCAAGGGUUCCUGUCCAACGUUAAUCGGGGCAGGGUGAGUCGACCCCUAAGGCGAGGCCGAAAGGCGUAGUCGAUGGGAAACAGGUUAAUAUUCCUGUACUUGGUGUUACUGCGAAGGGGGGACGGAGAAGGCUAUGUUGGCCGGGCGACGGUUGUCCCGGUUUAAGCGUGUAGGCUGGUUUUCCAGGCAAAUCCGGAAAACUAAGGCUGAGGCGUGAUGACGAGGCACUACGGUGCUGAAGCAACAAAUGCCCUGCUUCCAGGAAAAGCCUCUAAGCAUCAGGUAACAUCAAAUCGUACCCCAAACCGACACAGGUGGUCAGGUAGAGAAUACCAAGGCGCUUGAGAGAACUCGGGUGAAGGAACUAGGCAAAAUGGUGCCGUAACUUCGGGAGAAGGCACGCUGAUAUGUAGGUGAAGUCCCUCGCGGAUGGAGCUGAAAUCAGUCGAAGAUACCAGCUGGCUGCAACUGUUUAUUAAAAACACAGCACUGUGCAAACACGAAAGUGGACGUAUACGGUGUGACGCCUGCCCGGUGCCGGAAGGUUAAUUGAUGGGGUCAGCGCAAGCGAAGCUCUUGAUCGAAGCCCCGGUAAACGGCGGCCGUAACUAUAACGGUCCUAAGGUAGCGAAAUUCCUUGUCGGGUAAGUUCCGACCUGCACGAAUGGCGUAAUGAUGGCCAGGCUGUCUCCACCCGAGACUCAGUGAAAUUGAACUCGCUGUGAAGAUGCAGUGUACCCGCGGCAAGACGGAAAGACCCCGUGAACCUUUACUAUAGCUUGACACUGAACAUUGAGCCUUGAUGUGUAGGAUAGGUGGGAGGCUUUGAAGUGUGGACGCCAGUCUGCAUGGAGCCGACCUUGAAAUACCACCCUUUAAUGUUUGAUGUUCUAACGUUGACCCGUAAUCCGGGUUGCGGACAGUGUCUGGUGGGUAGUUUGACUGGGGCGGUCUCCUCCUAAAGAGUAACGGAGGAGCACGAAGGUUGGCUAAUCCUGGUCGGACAUCAGGAGGUUAGUGCAAUGGCAUAAGCCAGCUUGACUGCGAGCGUGACGGCGCGAGCAGGUGCGAAAGCAGGUCAUAGUGAUCCGGUGGUUCUGAAUGGAAGGGCCAUCGCUCAACGGAUAAAAGGUACUCCGGGGAUAACAGGCUGAUACCGCCCAAGAGUUCAUAUCGACGGCGGUGUUUGGCACCUCGAUGUCGGCUCAUCACAUCCUGGGGCUGAAGUAGGUCCCAAGGGUAUGGCUGUUCGCCAUUUAAAGUGGUACGCGAGCUGGGUUUAGAACGUCGUGAGACAGUUCGGUCCCUAUCUGCCGUGGGCGCUGGAGAACUGAGGGGGGCUGCUCCUAGUACGAGAGGACCGGAGUGGACGCAUCACUGGUGUUCGGGUUGUCAUGCCAAUGGCACUGCCCGGUAGCUAAAUGCGGAAGAGAUAAGUGCUGAAAGCAUCUAAGCACGAAACUUGCCCCGAGAUGAGUUCUCCCUGACUCCUUGAGAGUCCUGAAGGAACGUUGAAG
rnacentral:rRNA from 1 species